CAGUUGGACAUCUGUGCGCGUCGCGAAAACGUCAGCUGAUGCUCAAGUGUUUUGCUGUAGUUUGCGUAUUUCGCUGUUUGCGAAUGAAUUACGGUGCAUUUUUUUUUGAUGAUGUUUCGUAUGGAUUCGAAACGAGUGCUGUGAAACUUGUGGACCACGUAGGUUUAGGAUUGCUCGGCGUUAAACAUCUGUGUUUGUGGAUAUCUUUCAAGACGGCAUCCGUGAUUCUUCUGAACGAUCAAGAAGAAACAGGAUAAAUUUGAGACCUAAACCCAGAUCCAGCAGACGACCCUGAUUGAUACACGGAUCAAUAAGCUUCUGUUCGGUGCGGCUAAUCCAGCCGGAUUUGGCAAGUUGGCGAUCCAGACCUUUCCGAAAUGGUCAAACCGACUUUCAGAGGGAACCUUUGUUGACGGAGCUGGAAACAGAACCGAUUUCGCGUGGAUUUUUUUUUCAGAGAAAGCGAAGCAUUUCGCAGCAUGUUUUUGUUUAUAAACUCAUAGUCUAGGAUAUAACGUAUUGAAGAAUAUUACCAGCAACCUAAUGGACAAAUCAGAUAAGUUAACAUUAAAUGUAGUAAGCUAAAUACUGUGCAGUUUGUUUUCUUUUUUCAGGUUUAAGCCAAGAGCAACAAGAUCACCAGGUGAACUCUCGAUAGCCCGGCGUUGCACGACUGCUUCGUUUUCCUUCAGAAGCGGAUGCUGAAGUUACGUUAAACUUGGAACCCAUCCAUCCGACCGACGAUUUCCACAGGAUGGCGGAGAUGGAGCUGAUAUUCGGUCAACUUUCUACCGCAUUGGAUGCCUCCUUGAUCUGUGAUUUUUUUUUCCUCUGUAUAAUUUAAUCCUAAGACUUUUUGUGGAAUUUUUUGUGUUUUUGUGAAAUAAAAAAAUAAAUAAGCUAUUUGACCAAAGCAAAAUAAAUGUUUCUAGCUCAAAAUUCCGAAAAUCCUUGAAAAAUUGAUGUUCAUUCGAAUUGUUACAACUAUUUCCCAAAAUGUAAUGCGCCAUGAAAAAUCACUGAAAUAACUAUUUAAAACCAUACAAAUACCAUUUGAGAAAUGGUGAAAUCCCUAAAAUAUAUACGCAAAAAUGAACUUUCAAAAAGCAUUUGACAAAGUGUCGCUAGAAGAAAAAUCAAAUAGUGAAUAUUGCUAACAACAUCCCGUAUAGAAAAAAACCGUUUGGAAAUCAUUUGUUAAAUAUUCAAUCAACAUUUUGACAAAUUGUAUAGCCACUAUUUGGUAAAUCAUUUUUUUAAUUCCUCACUGUCUCUCAAAUAGUGAACUAUUCCCCAUAUAUGUUGUUAGCAAUAUUCACUAUUUGAUUUUUUCUUCUAGCGACACUUUGUCAAAUGCUUUUUGAAAGUUCAUUUUUGCGUAUAUAUUUUAGGGAUUUCACCAUUUCUCAAAUGGUAUUUUUAUGGUUUUAAAUAGUUAUUUCAGUGAUUUUUCAUGGCGCAUUACAUUUUGGGAAAUAGUUGUAACAAUUCGAAUGAACAUCAAUUUUUCAAGGAUUUUCGGAAUUUUGAGCUAGAAACAUUUAUUUUGCUUUGGUCAAAUAGCUUAUUUAUUUUUUUAUUUCACAAAAACACAAAAAAUUCCACAAAAAGUCUUAGGAUUAAAUUAUACAGAGGAAAAAAAAAUCACAGAUCAAGGAGGCAUCCAAUGCGGUAGAAAGUUGACCGAAUAUCAGCUCCAUCUCCGCCAUCCUGUGGAAAUCGUCGGUCGGAUGGAUGGGUUCCAAGUUUAACGUAACUUCAGCAUCCGCUUCUGAAGGAAAACGAAGCAGUCGUGCAACGCCGGGCUAUCGAGAGUUCACCUGGUGAUCUUGUUGCUCUUGGCUUAAACCUGAAAAAAGAAAACAAACUGCACAGUAUUUAGCUUACUACAUUUAAUGUUAACUUAUCUGAUUUGUCCAUUAGGUUGCUGGUAAUAUUCUUCAAUACGUUAUAUCCUAGACUAUGAGUUUAU